rnacentral:lncRNA from 1 species
AUAGUGUUUGCCUGCACGUGCACCAGGAGUGUUCCUGGGGUCUAAGGAAGCUGAAAGAAGGCAUUGAAUCCUCCGGAACUGUAGUUACAGGUGUUUCUAAGACACCAUAUUACUGCUGGGAAUGGACCUGAGUCCUCUGCAAGACCAGCAAAUGCCCUCCCUUAACUGCUGGACCACCUCACCAACUCUGAAAAGUUUUCUUCAAAAUGCGGCUUAAGUGAAGAGGGAACCAGCACAGGGCGAAGAUGACAACCAAGCAGAAGACAGUCUUUGCCACUUCUCGACGCUAAGGGCAAGUUCAUGCAAACAAGGAUAAAGAUCUUUCCUGGUCCACCCCACUGCAG